AUUGAACGCUGGCGGCAGGCCUAACACAUGCAAGUCGAGCGAGCGGCGGACGGGUGAGUAAUGUAUGGGGACUGCCCGAUAGAGGGGGAUAACUACUGGACACGGUGGCUAAUACCGCAUACUAUCGGAUAACCCAUAUGGGAUUAGCUAGUAGGUGGGGUAAAGGCUCACCAGGGGGACGAUCUCUAGCUGGUCGGAGAGGAUGAUCAGCCACACGGUGACUGAGACCCGGUCCAGACUCCGACGGAGGCAUCAGUGGGGAAUAUUGCACAAUGGACGCAAGCCUGAUGCAGCCAUGCCGCGUGUAUGAAGAAGGCCUUAGGGUUGUAAAGUACUUUCAGCGGGGAGGCGUUACCCGCAGAAGAAGCACCGGCUAACUCCGUGCCAGCAGCCGCGGUAAUUC
rnacentral:rRNA from 1 species